rnacentral:rRNA from 1 species
GACAGAGGGUGCAAACGUUUGUUCGGAAUUACUGGGCGUAAAGCGCGUGUAGGCGGCUAAGUAAGUCGGGCGUGAAAUCCCACGGCUCAACCGUGGAAGUGCACUCGAAACUGCAUAGCUAGAGUCCUGGAGAGGAAGGUGGAAUGCUUGGUGUAGAGGUGAAAUUCGUAGAUACUCAAGCGGAACACCGGUGGCGAAGGCGGCCUUCUGGACAGUGACUGACGCUGAGACGGCGAAAAGCGUGGGGAGCAAACAGG